GUUGUUGCGGUUAAAAAGCUCGUAGUUGGAUCUCGGCAGGCAGGGGGCGGUUCGAUAUCUGUCGUUACUGCCCCAUUUGCCUGUGUGAUUGGCGGAGGUUUCGGGGUGCUCUUAACCGAGUGUGCCGAGAUGCCGUCAGGUUUACUUUGAAAAAAUUAGAGUGCUCAAAGCAGGCAUCAUCGCUUGAAUAUUCGUGCAUGGAAUAAUGGAAUAGGAACUCGUUUCUAUUUUGUUGGUUUUCGGAAAUCGAGUUAAUGAUUAAUAGGGACAAUUGGGGGCAUUAGUAUUCAGACGACAGAGGUGAAAUUCUUGGACCGUCUGAAGACUAACUACUGCGAAAGCAUUUGCCAAGAGUGUCUUCAUUAAUCAAGAACGAAAGUUAGAGGUUCGAAGGCGAUCAGAUACCGCCCUAGUUCUAACCAUAAACGAUGCCAGCUAGCGAUCCGCCGAGUUUUUCAAUUAGGCUCCGCGGGAAGCUUUCGGGAAACCAAAGCUUUUGGGUUCCGGGGGAAGUAUGGUUGCAAAGCUGAAACUUAAAGGAAUUGACGGAAGGGCACCACCAGGAGUGGAGCCUGCGGCUUAAUUUGACUCAACACGGGAAAUCUCACCAGGCCCGGACACUGGAAGGAUUGACAGAUUGAGAGCUCUUUCUCGAUUCGGUGGGUGGUGGUGCAUGGCCGUUCUUAGUUGGUGGAGUGAUUUGUCUGGUUAAUUCCGAUAACGAACGAGACUCUGUCCUGCUAAAUAGUUGGUGCGUCAUUUUUGCGC
rnacentral:rRNA from 1 species